GAUUUGCUUGGUGUUCAAGCUUGAAAUUGAAGAAUUAUUUGAGGAGUUGUGGCUUGAUCAUUGCAUUGAAGCUUGAGAAUUGUGACUAGGAUUACCGGCACUUGGUCAGGAGCACCCGGGGAUUUGGAAUCUCCAUAUUUGCGGGACAUCAGGAAAGGGUAAAUCUGUUUCUGAUCAGCCAUGAGUAGGGGAGUUGGGCGAUGUAUGUACAUGUUCGGGCCACACUAGACUAAGCGGGUUGGGGUCUACCAGUGAUGAUUUUUUUUGUAACUCUGUUUUGCCGCUUAGGUCGGUUAUUCGAAACAGACUUGUAAUAUUUUGUAAAUUGUUUUUUGGGAUCCCGAGACAUGUAACUUUUGUUUGUUUGUAAAGUUAAAAUUAUUACAAGUUUA